GGCCAUAUGACUAGUGCUGACCAAUGGACUGUGAACAGAAAUGACAGCAUCACUCCCAUGGAACCUCCUCCAUCUCUGUCUUCCCUGUUGUGACAAUCUCAGAGGCUACAUUCUUUCAAUGGCUGGGCUACAAGAUGGGGAAAGGCUGCCCAACCUGACACAGCAAGAAGGCGGCCAUCUGCAAACCAGAAAGAGAGCCCUCACCAGGAACCGGAUCUGCUGGCACCUUGAUCUUGGACUUCCCAGCCUUUAGAGCUGUGAGAAAUGUCACCCCCAGGUCAAUGGGAUAUUUGUUACAGCACCAGGUACUGCCUGAGAACUCUACCUUUAGGGAGCCUGCAUGCUGGGUCCCUGCGGAGACAAUGAAGGUGCUUGACACCGUUUCAAUAUUGGGUCACUGCAAGGCUGACUGCUGCUGAAGGACAGCCAGUGAGAGGUCAUGGCAAGCCAUCAGAAGAAGCAGAAGUCAUGAGCAGGCUGAAGCUAUGAGGCCAAGACAAAAUGACACAUUGCCACAAGAAGAGGGACAAACAGGCAACAGGCAGAGCCCAUGGGAAUCAGUAAUCUCUUGCUGCCACUGAGGCCUUGGGACUAACUCAGAUCCAGUACUACUCUCUUGGGGCCUAUUCUGACUCCAGCACCUGUCCUUGGGGUCCCCUGAGAUCCCUGUAGCCUUGUAAUAAGCCCACAUUAUCAUAUUUCCCCUGCUGGCUCCACGCUAGAGCAUUUCCAACAAUUUCCAGUGCUUUUUUCCUUCUCACACCACUGGGCCUUUGCAUGUGCUAGUGCCUCCCCAACUUGCCCUGCCUUCUCCUUCACCCAGACAACUCCUACUAAAUCUCUCAGACUCCUCAGCUGUGUCCCUUCCUAGGGGAAGACUCUCCUCCCUCCAGUGAGCCCGGUGGUCCUCCCUGGGAUACCCUGCUCCUUGUCUUCCCUGCCGUCCUUACUGCCGUCCUUGUUCUCUACUCAGAAGGAGGCAGAGGCUGGCCUGCCCCCACUCCCCUGUAGACUGACCAGAUGAAUUGACCUGGGCUGGGCAGGGCAGGCAUGUUUGACCAAUUGUCUGGGCACCCCGUGGCUCAGUCAAGUUGACACAUAAAGUUCACUGCCCCAGGGCCCCUUCGUUGUAUUUGUCUAUGAAUAAAAAACAGCAUCAACUCCAGGUAUCUGAGGGUUCUGGAGGCAGGUUCUGUGAUCCCUUUUUACAGAUGAGGAUGCGGAGAUCCAGUUGUCACUCACCCAGAUCACACUUUCAUCUGCUGAUGGAAGGAGUAUUUGAUGGGAUGUGUGAGCCCGGCCGUCUCCCUCGGGACACAUCGGCUCAGUAAAUUUGCCAGCCCCUGCCUGAAAAAGUAUUUAAUUUGUCUUUUACAAUGCACCCAUUGCAAGCUAAUUAACUGGCAAUUGAAAGUUAUAGGUGGCAUUAGAAUUUAUUAAUAACAUUGGAAAUAAAUCUCCCUGGAAUUCAAUUAACUGAAAA
rnacentral:lncRNA from 1 species